GUCCAGCUGACGAGUCCCAAAUAGGACGAAAUGCGCGUCCUGAAU
rnacentral:hammerhead_ribozyme from 1 species